UCUCAAGGUUGACCUCGGAUCAGGUAGGGAUACCCGCUGAACUUAAGCAU
rnacentral:rRNA from 2 species